UUUGGGGUAUAUAUUUGUAUCUGGCAAGUGUCUCCACUUGCCAGAUACAAAUAUAUACCCCAAAU
rnacentral:miRNA from 1 species